AACGCAUAUGGCGCCUGAAGCCUCGGCGGAGGGCAUGCCUGCCUCAGCGUCGUUCCAACCCCCUCUCCAAUCAGGGUUUCACGACCCUUGGCCUUGGAGGAACUGGCCUCUCCCCUCCCAAGGGACUGGCUGAAAGGCAAUCGGCCCGGUUAAGCGACCGGCACCUGUGGUGGUGGCCAAGCGCCUCCCCUCUGGACCGGACGCUUACACUGUAUAGCGGCCCAAUGUGAACGCACCCUCAAUCAUUCGACCUGAGUUCAGGCAAGAGCACCCGCUGAACUUAA
rnacentral:misc_RNA from 1 species